AGUGAACGCUGGCGGCAGGCCUAAUACAUGCAAGUCGAACGGCAGCACAGCAGAGCUUGCUCUGUGGGUGGCGAGUGGCGGACGGGUGAGGAAUACAUGGGAAUCUGCCCAGUCGUGGGGGAUAACGUAUGGAAACGUACGCUAAUACCGCAUGCGCCCUACGGGGGAAAGUCGGGGACCGCAAGGCCUGACGCGAUUGGAUGAGCCCAUGUUCGAUUAGCUAGUUGGCGGGGUAAAGGCCCACCAAGGCGACGAUCGAUAGCUGGUCUGAGAGGAUGAUCAGCCACACUGGAACUGAGACACGGUCCAGACUCCUACGGGAGGCAGCAGUAGGGAAUAUUGGACAAUGGGGGCAACCCUGAUCCAGCCAUGCCGCGUGAGUGAAGAAGGCCCUCGGGUUGUAAAGCUCUUUUGUCCGGAAAGAAAAGCAAUCGGUUAAUACCCGGUUGUCCUGACGGUACCGGAAGAAUAAGCACCGGCUAACUUCGUGCCAGC
rnacentral:rRNA from 1 species